GACGAACGCUGGCGGCGUGCUUAACACAUGCAAGUCGAGCGGAGCGGCGAACGGGUGAGUAACGCGUGAGUAACUGCCCCCCUCUCUGGGAUAACAGUUGGAAACGGCUGCUAAUACCGGAUAGUGGGGGAUGACUCGCGUCCUAUCAGCUUGUCUGUGGGGUAGUGGCUUACCAAGGCGACGACGGGCAGCCGGCCUGAGAGGGCGACCGGCCACAUUGGGCUGAGGUACGGACCAUACUCCUACGGGGGGCAGUGGGGGGGAGUCUUGCACAAUGGGGGGAACCCUGAUGCAGCAGCGCCGCGUGCUGGAUGACGGCCUUCGGGUUGUAAACCUCUUUCAGCCAUGACGCGGUAGUGGCAGAAGAAGCACCGGCUAACUACGUGCCAGCCGCCGCGGUAAUUC
rnacentral:rRNA from 1 species